rnacentral:rRNA from 1 species
AUUGAACGCUGGCGGCAGGCCUAACACAUGCAAGUCGAACGAGUGGCGGACGGGUGAGUAAUGUCUGGGAAACUGCCCGAUGGAGGGGGAUAACUACUGGAAACGGUAGCUAAUACCGCAUACAAUCGGAUGUGCCCAGAUGGGAUUAGCUUGUAGGUGAGGUAACUGCUCACCUAGGCGACGCUCCCUAGCUGUUCUGAGAGGAGGACCAGGCACACGGGAACUGAGACACGGUCCAGACUGCUACGGGAGGCAGCAGUGGGGAAUAUUGCACAAUGGGCGCAAGCCUGAUAGAGCCAUGCGGCGUGUAUGAAGAAGGCCUUCGGUUUGUAAAGUACUUUCAGCGGGGAGGCGUUACCCACAGAAGAAGCACCGGCUAACUCCGGGCCAGCAGCCGCGGUAAUUC